rnacentral:rRNA from 1 species
GAUCCUGGCUCAGGAUGAACGCUAGCUACAGGCUUAACACAUGCAAGUCGAGGGGCAGCAUGAAAGGAACUUCGGUUCUUUUUGAUGGCAACCGGCGCACGGGUGCGUAACGCGUAUCGAACCUGCCUCAUACUCGGGGAUAGCCUUGCGAAAGUAAGAUUAAUACCUGGCGGUCUCGGAUGGCCGCAUGACUAUCCGAGUGAAGAUUUAUCGGUAUGAGAUGGCGAUGCGU